UAAAAUAUUUAUAUAAGUCGGUGCCGGAGGCUUCGGCCUUGGCUAUGGCGAUAAACGGUAGAUGAAAUAAGUGUAGUGGACCCGGGGGCAGUGCCCGGCGUCUCCACCAAAAAACCUAGUUUUGGGUGAUAUGGGGACGAAACAGGCUCGACACGCAUGGUAAAGAUCUACUCUUUGCUCGGCAUUGUACCACCGUCAUCGGGCUAAACUUACAAGUGCCAACGAUAACUCAGAGGUGCUCGCUGUUGCUGCAUAAGCGAUAAGCGCGGUCCGGGGGGCACCGGGCAACAGAAGCCCCCCA
rnacentral:tmRNA from 1 species